rnacentral:rRNA from 1 species
UGGGGAAUAUUGCACAAUGGACGGAAGUUUGAUGCAGCGACGCCGCGUGGAGGGUGUAGGCCUGCGGGUUGUGAACUCCUUUUUCUCGCGAAAAAGGCACAGUUUUGGCUGUGUUGAUGGUAGUGGGGGAAGAAGCGCCGGCUAACUACGUGCCAGCAGCCGCGGUAAUACGUAGGGCGCGAGCGUUGUCCGGAUUUAUUGGGCGUAAAGAGCUCGUAGGUGGUUCGUCGCGUCUGUCGUGAAAGCCAGCAGCUUAACUGUUGGUCUGCGGUGGGUACGGGCGGGCUUGAGUGCGGUAGGGGUGACUGGAAUUCCUGGUGUAGCGGUGGAAUGCGCAGAUAUCAGGAGGAACACCGAUGGCGAAGGCAGGUCACUGGGCCGUUACUGACACUGAGGAGCGAAAGCGUGGGGAGCGAACAGG